rnacentral:snoRNA from 1 species
GGGAUAUAUAAUGACCAAAUGUUUUCCCUUGUGACAGAUCAAUCACGUUGAUUUAACUUCACUAAGCCAGUUUCUGUCUGAUGUGCC